GCAUUAGUAGCUCAGUCUUUAGAGCAUCG
rnacentral:tRNA from 1 species